AUACACAUGGGUCUGAUAUGUUAGGGAAAUUACAUUCUUUUUUCUUCAGUCAAAUGGAUAUUGCACUCCUAAAACCAAACAUUUAUACAUAAUGACGUAGUACUUUGGUUGCAAUUCGUUUUGGGCAAGGAUGAUGAACAUGGGAAGGCUUAUCAAUAUCAUAGACAUGAAAUUAUUUUAAUUCACAAAACAAUGUGUAGUUUUUGAGAAGCCUUUCUUUCUGUAUGUGUUGAAAGGGUUUUCCCCAACAAAGUGGUGUACGGAGAGCACACAUGUGAGCUCUGCUAGGGUUCCAUCACCCCCAAUAACGAUCCUUGGCACAGGCUCUCUCUGUUUCAUGUGACUUCCCCUUAAGUCAGUUACUCAAGCCUUUCAUCAAAUGCAAUUAUGUCUCCAUAAAGAUUACGAGAAAAGAAUACAGGAAAGGGCUUCUCAAUUGCAAGAACAAUUUUCAUGGAAGUUUAAUCUUAGCCAAAGGAACCCAGAACCUCCAACCAGCUCUCCAUCGUUUGUGCCGAUGGGGCAAGGAUUUCAGCCCGAACAGGCUGCUUUUGACACAUGCUAAAAUUCAACCUUCCACAAGUGUAUUGGAGGCCAUAAAUUUUGUUCGGGAUUGCAGCUGGGAUGAGGAUGAGAUCUCAGAUCAUGCCAACCAAGGACAGCUUGCGGAUCGAGAUCCAGAUUUCACCGUGGUCAUCUCCAAAUUUGGAAGAGGUUUACUACUAACGAAGAACAUGGUGAGUGCUGAUAUCCUCAAUAUUCAUGAUAAAGUUUCCCGAAGCAAUUGUUGACAUGCCAGUAAUUUGGUUUCUAACUUAGUGACGUGCAUAGACAAAUAAAGGCCAAACAUUCGUAAAUGGAACUUGAUUAUAUGUACUGCAUAUAUGAUUUAUUUUGCUUUAGGGAAACUUUCCAUUGCAAGUGAAUUUAUUUAUCCAGCUUAUCUUAUCAGAAAAUAGCCGUACUGUUAAUUAAGAAAACAAUUUCUUGUAUGGCUUUUUAGAAACCUUCCUUCCAACUUUCAAGUAGAACAUAGCAGUGUCACACAUCAUGCAUAAGCGAGACUUUCCUUCUAUAUUAAAUAAAUAUACACUGCUUUCCCGGUUUACUACCAGAAUAGCAUUUUACAUUGGCUUAUCAGGGAUCAUCUUCAAUAAAGAGUACAAGACACUUGGAGUGCAGAGUUCUUUUCAGCUGAGUCCAAGUUAGGAAGUAGGAAGGUUUUAAGCGAAAAUGUCUAUGCACAAGAAGCUUCAACAGCUAAACUCUUUGCUACUCCUUUACACGGAUCUCCAAAUGUAUUAAGUGAUAAUCCAAUGCUACAACUAUUUGAUCCAAUGCAGGCUUGUUAAUUAAUAUUCGUAAGAGUCAGUAUAAUCCAAAUGAACAAAAGUCAAAUUAACUACACAAAAAGCUUAUAUGAAAUUUUAAAGAGGACACAGGACAACACCUUCUGAACAAUGGAUAGAGCCUUAUUACUUCUGCACCGUCCAUGUUUGAAAUUUCCACAAGUCCCAUAAGGCGUUCCAAAACUUGCAAAUUCAAUGGAAGAGAUCAACUGAUUAGGAUAAGGGCACUC